GAUCAUGGCUCAGGAUGAACGCUAGCUACAGGCUUAACACAUGCAAGUCGAGGGGAAACGGCAUCGAAAGCUUGCUUUUGAUGGGCGUCGACCGGCGCACGGGUGAGUAACGCGUAUCCAACCUGCCCAUCACUUGGGAAUAGCCUUGCGAAAGUAAGACUAAUGCCCAAUGAUAUCCCACGAAGGCAUCCGAAUGGGAUUAAAGAUUUAUCGGUGAUGGAUGGGGAUGCGU
rnacentral:rRNA from 1 species